rnacentral:rRNA from 1 species
UAGGAGGCGGGAGAGGCGGACGGUACUCCGCGUGUAGGGGUAAAAUCCUUUGAUCCGCGGAAGACCACCAGUGGCGAAGGCGGUCCGCCAGAACGCGCUCGACGGUGAGGGUGAAAAACCUGGGGGAGCGAACCCGGAUUAGAUACCCGGGUAGUCCCAGCCGUAAACGAUG